AUUUAUGAGAGCACACGUCGUUCGACAGUGACGCUACAGCGGACGGCCCACUUGCAGGGCGCUCAGCCACCGCACGCACAUUGUAGUCGAUCGAGUAGACAAGCAGACGAUCCAAAGCCCGUGUUGGUGCCGGACGUCCCUCAAAACGAGCUCUGUCUUUCGUCGUUUCACUUCUCCUGCACCACCGAAGAGCAUCGUCUCUUGUUGGUAAUUAGGAUUAUCGACUGCGUCCCCGGAAACUGGAUUCUUUGCGACUUCUUGUGCCUGCUCAAACACUGAGAAGCAAUUUCGGUUCUGAUUCAAUCGCCCAAGCAGAGCAGGGAAAGAGGAACGAGGGACUUGGAGAAACUUUGUCAACUGGCCUGGAGACUUUUGAGAAAAAAAUUAAACUUUUUAAGUGGACAUGGCGACGACACAGGAGGAAUGCGAUAAAUUCGCAGCAACGUAUCAGGCGAGCGCAGAAGAACUGGAAUGCCCCGUCUUCUACGACGGCACGAUGUGCUGGGUAGCAUCGCGGGUCAAUACGACAGCCUACAUGCGCUGCCCCAAGAUAUUUCCACAGAUCGACACCUCCAAAUUCGUGAAAAUGUAUUGUAACGCGGACGGCACCUGGGACCAGGUCAACUACGACCUCUGCCUCAGCGAAAAAGGCAUCACCAAAACGAAUGCUUCAUUGGAGCAAAUUCAAUUCCACACUGACGUCAUCCACGGAGCAAAGAUUAUGGAGAUCGUGGGUCUUUUCCUCUCCUUCUGUAGCCUGGUCCUCGCCCUUUUAGUCUUCAGCUGUUUCAGGAGUCUCCAGUGCCACCGGACGAAGAUCCACAAGCACCUGUUUGCUGCCUAUAUCGCCCGCCUGACGUUCGAGAUCAUCCUCAUGGUCAACGGGUUCUACGAGCGGACCCAGGCCGCCGUGGGCUACGCCGAGACCUUUAUCUCGAGAACACCGCCGUUGUGCGUCACCCUUGAGGUCUUCCGAGAAUACACGAGACUUUGUACGUUCGCCUGGAUGUUCAUCGAGGGCAUGUACCUCAACAGCCUGCUGUCGUCGGCCGUGUUCGGCAAGCCCAAAUUCAUCGCGUUCUACAUCAUCGGCUGGGUUUUAAGUGCACCUCUCAUCAUCGCGUGGGCUAUUGCAAUGCAUUUUACGUUGGGCUCUAACAGCAACUGCUGGUUUGCAAACAUCAACACUGUCUACUACUGGGUGUUUAUAGAGAUCCCUCGCAACGUGCUACUUUCGAUGAAUUUGCUCUUUCUCAUCAAUAUACUGAGAGUAUUGGUUACCAAAUUGAGGGAGAGCAACACCAGCGAGACGAAACAAGUAAGGAAAGCUAUCAAGGCCACCUUCGUGCUCCUCCCACUUCUGGGUGUGGCCAACCUAGUCUGGCUCAUCCCCGAACCGGAAACCGAGGACAGCCCCGGCUGGAUUGUCGUCUAUAACUACGGUUUGUUGUUCCUGGACGCCUACCAGGGAUUUUUCGUGGCCAUUCUGUAUUGCUUCAUGAAUGCAGAGGUGCGCAGUGUGCUGCGGCGCAAGUAUUCUACAUGGCGGACCUACCACAAUCCCAACCGAGGACAUAACAUGGUAGUUACCACGGCUACGGACAUGUAAACUCAGCGCCUGCUAACAGAUUAAACGACCAGUGCACACACACAAAAUUGAACAAGAUCCGCUUAACAGUCAUGGAUGACGGACACUGCCAAUCAGAGACGUGAAUUGGAAACAAGUCGUCAAACGGUCGUUUGGAUAACCCCGUCUGCUGGUGUGGGUUCCUGGUGAUCGUGAUUAUGUCGAAACUUAUCCAGUGUAGCUAGUAAUCCGUGAAUUUGUAUCUAGAAAAUUUGUGAAAUGUUUCCCGAUAAUUGGGUGUAGGGUAAAAGAGGUUUCUGAUUGUGUCAAGAAGCUGUCACGUACGUUUUGGUUUUGAAACUCUGCCCAUUUAACAUAACCAAUCAUAUAAACGUAAUAAUACAUUAGCACCCUUCUGUUAUUUCGCGUAAUAAGAUUUCUAUAUUCCCCCAAAACGAUCCUUUGGACUGUUUCCGUCGGAAAAUAUCUUUAAAGGUGUUUAGAGGAACAACAGCAAACAGUAUAAAAUUUGUCGAUCUACAUAUUUUCUUGUCGAAAGGUCAAAAGGUCAAGAAUUAAAUAAGUGAGUCAACGUUCGUCCUGAAACUACCCUAUGCCCGAAAUCGUUGCAGAAAUUGGCUCAGGGCCGUCAGCGUAUCAAUGCUGCAUGUCUACUGAGAGAAUUGCAGCAUGAAAUAAUGUAUUGAUAGGAGUCGAAGAUAACUUUUUUGUGUGACAUCAAAUUUUCUCAUCGGUAGUUUCACUUUACAUUGAAUUCUCAUCAAGUUAAGAAUAAUCUUAACAAAAUGACAAAUAAGUUCAAGUCUGCGCCACGAAAAUCCACGUUUGUUGCAUUGAAUAGUCCAAAAGCAAUUAGAGUUUAUUGUGUAAACCUGACGUACUAGACUAUUCGACUGUUUGCGCGGACUAAUGGUGAUUGGAACUCAUGUGUCGACAAGUCCAAUGGUGUCCGUAUAGUCUGUGUAAGUAGCCAAGAGUGCUUUUCGAAGUUAUCCAUCUUGACAUUGUUUAAGCUUUUACAGGUUUGCUUUUUCUAAUACACAUUUCCUCUUGACGGUCAGGUGGAUAUCAGACAAAAACGUGAAUGUAAAACAUAACCGACAUUACGAGAGAGUUUAAAUGUAUAUGCAAUGUACAUAAUCACUUUUUGGUUGUAGGGAAAGAAGUAGUGUAGAUUUUAUUAUGUGGCCGACAGAAAUUACAAGUUGUAGGGAUAAUGUACCAAUUUUAUUUGUUUUGAAGAUAUCUGUGAAAACAUAUUUCACAAUUUAUAAACUUGAACUAAAUAUCACCAAUAUUGCUGAAUAAAAUAGAGUUUUCUUAAAUUAUAGCGAACUGUAUGAAAGGUUUGUAAUAUAAAUUCCAAACUAAUACCAAUAUAUUAAAUGAUCAAGUGAAAAUAACUAUUUAAGGAAGAUAAAAAUGUAAUACUUUGAAAGGAAUAGCCUAUAUUGAAGACUUUUUCAAGCAGCCUAAAAGUUUUAUGUUGGAAUUGGCAAUGAAAUCGGCCACGUGCUUUACAAAGGAAAGGUACUCACUGACAUAAAGGAAUAUCACAAAGUAUUAUAAGCUGAUGACGUAAGUGAUAAGCCUUAAGACCAAGUGACACCGCCUAGGAAUCUGCGGUUGUAAUCAGUUCUUUCUUUUGACUGUUGAUGUCCUUUUUCCUUGAUAGGUAAAUAAAUGUUGAUUUUAUAAUGCUGCCUGUCAGAAUAUGUAAAUAUGUAAAUUAUUUCCUAUCGGACAAUUUUAUUUUAACAACGAUAACAUUAUGUGUCUGAAUUUUUGAAGUAUACUAUUUAACCACGCGUUAAUUAGAAUACACUUUGUUAGGAGAAUACGGGCCGUAUGUAGAAUUGUGAACAAAAGUGGAACGACUGGACCAAACGGUGACACACAUGAACAAAGUUGUGACGAGUCGGUUAGUUUGAUUUGUACAAUAAAUAGUAAAGCCAGUCAACAGAUAUGGGCGGGCGGUUGGUGCUCUUAAGAAAGAUUGGCUGCCUCCUUUUGUUCGCCCUCUGGGAGAAACAACUUCUCAGAGCAAAGGUAGUAUCUAAAUUUAAUCAGUGCACCUUCUCGGCAGUACUGAAGUAGUGCUCACCAUACUGUGGGAGUUUUAUGUACAGUCAAAACCUUGCCUUUUUGAGUAAAUUAUGACAUAUUUGUAUUUUAUGCAUAGUAGAUGCUGUAUCUGAAGUGUUAAGAACGUUUUAUAAGUUAGGCGGGCGCUCUGUGGGUAGCGAGGUCUACAGGGUCAAGGGGGGGGAUUCCACGUUACCGUGCUGCGAUGUCGAAUAUCACAAGCAUGGGCGUAGCGAAGGCAUUUUCUUUGGGGGCGUGCCAAAGUCAGUUUGUUGACUUGUAACUUAUUCGCCUACGUCAUUUCGUGUAACAUUUACAAAGUGUAGAAAAUGGACACCUGUGGUACGCUACAUUUCAUGCUUCUCAGUGGGGAAAUCCCAACAGCCAAUGUAUUGCUUAUGUACCAGUUUUGGAUUCAUUUGCCGACCGAAGCUGUAUUUGCCAACUGGAAUUCAUUGUGGGGGGGGACCCCAUCCUCCCAGUCGGGCUACGCCCCUGAUUGCAAACACACUUCGUGCACCUAAUAUUGGUCUUAAAACGUGACUAGAGCUUAUGGCAAUGAUGUGUUGCCCCUUGACCACCAAUACUAGUUGGUAUUGUGCUUGAUAGAUAUCAUCAAUUAUUAACUUUAUUAGAAGAUGGCAUAGGCUUAAUUUUCCUAUUCACCAGGAGGUCAAUUGAUAUAACUUGCCUCAACUACAAUGCAUUUACAUUCUUCAAUCUUUUUAACCCUCCAACUCCGCUCAAAGCAAUCCCAGGCACACCUUAAUUACCAUUCAAUAAGGCCGACGUGAUCAUAACAAUGUAAAUAAAUAGUUAGGUUGUGUCGAGAGUCCUAGA
rnacentral:misc_RNA from 1 species